CCUUCGUAAAAUGCUUUAAGGUAUACCCUCUCCUUGGCCUCAGCAAGUUUUUCUCUGUCAUUCUGGCUCUGGAUUUUGAGCUCAUCACAGAUGAAUGGAGCACAAAGGUUGCCAUAACCUGGGAUUUCAAUGAUGGGCACCGGUUCAAAUGGCAAGACCAUUUCAUCUCUGAUACCAUACUUCCCUCUGAGAGCCUUUUUUUUUUCAGAUCUCUCAGGGCUGCAAUGUCAUCUGGAGAAUCAGAAGGGACACUUGUUACCACUCCCGUUCCUUUAUCUUCCUUGAUUGUGAGCAUGGGAAGAGCAUACACAACUUUGUAGCUGGUGAGAGGUGCAGAAAGUGCAGCACCAAGAAUCU
rnacentral:lncRNA from 1 species